ACAUGGCACCAAACUUCUCCCUGUCUGCACAGGGCCACGGGCUGAGGAUACAGAGCACACAACACGGCACGGGUGUGGUGUCUAGGAUUUCUAAGUUUAUAUUUUGUGCGGAACACAAAUGUCAGCAAGAGCUAAAGUACUGUGUUAGGUGGUCAGCAGCAUGCACAGCGGGACAGCUCCUCUUCUCCAGGUAUUGGCCUGUUCUUCCUACAAUUCCUGUUCCUUACGUCUUCCUUUUGGAGAAAACUGGGAUGAUCCUAGAGGGAACUGCCUCUGUCUGGAAGGGUUGUUGAACACUUCCCAGGGAAAGGGUGAAGUACCAGGAGUUCCCUUGACUUCUGAUCAUAAACACUCUGCUUCCAGCAUCUGGUCCUUCUGCUGCUCACUGAUGUGACGGAGCUCCCACCAUUCCCUCGCCCUCUGUUAUCUGCACCCUGAACCACUGUUUUGCCACAGCGUUGGCAUUGGGAUAUUUUAUCCAAGGCGGAGGCCAUGAACAUUGAGAAAGCCAUUGCAGAUGGGAACUUGCCAGAGGUGGUCUCUGCCAUCAGGGAGACUGUGAAGAUAAUGUCCAGGACACCAGUCAACAUUGCUGUGACAGGAGACUCUGGCAAUGGCAUGUCUAGCUUCAUCAAUGCACUUCGGAACAUAGGACAUGAGGGGGAAGACUCGGCUCCUGUUGGGGUGGUAAAGACUACCCACACAUGUGCCUCCUAUUUAUCUCCCCACUUUCCAAACGUGGUGCUGUGGGACUUGCCUGGCACAGGGUGUGCCACUGACAGCCUGGAGAACUAUCUGAUGGAAAUGCAGUUCAGCCGCUAUGACUUCUUCAUCAUCAUUGCAUCUGAACAGUUCAGCGUGAGUCAUGUAAUGCUUGCCAAAACCAUUGAGGACAUGAGAAAAAAGUUCUACAUUGUCUGGACCAAGCUGGACAUGGUCCUCAGCACAAGUGCCCUCACAGAAGGGCAGCUACGUCAGAGUAUCAUAGAAAAUAUUCUGGAAAAUCUUCAGAAGAAGCAGGUAUGUGAACCCCCUAUAUUUCUGGUCUCCAGCCUUGAACCUUUAUUGCAUGACUUCCCAAAGCUUAGAGACAUGUUGAGAACAGAUCUCAUAAAAAUUAGGUGCCAUGACCUCCUUCAAAAGCUGUCCCACACCUGUGAGAUGGUCAUUAAUGACAAAGUGACCUCCCUGCAAAAGAAAAUAACCACACAGUCUUUCCAGGAUGCCUGUGGCAUCUCAGAUGCAGAUGAUUUGGCUGUGUGUCUGAAUGCCUACCAGUCGUUCUUUGGCGUGGAUGAUGAAUCUCUCUGGCAGGUGGCACAAAGAAUGGGGAGGAUAUUCACAGACUACAUGAACAUCAUGAAGCCUCGUGAUGUGCAAGUUCUCAGCAAAAGGGAUUGGAAAAUGACUUGCAUGACUUGUGCGGUCAUGAAGGCAUUCCUCAGUCUCCUGAGCUACAUCCCAUGGCUAGGUGACUAUAUCAUCUGCUACUUCAGAGGAAUGAAACACAGGCUCUUACUUGCCAUAGUUGCUGAGGACACAAAGACUAUCCUAAGGAAAGUCCUGGAAGACUCCAUCAUCCCACAGUGAAAGCCAACUUGGGAGAAGUCUAGCAGGCUCUAAGAGAAUCACAGCCUCCAGUUGGAGGUUCCAAUGAGCACACUUGGCAGCUACUUCUCCAACAACCUGAAACUGAGACCCAAUGGCCAAAAGAAGUCAACAAGCAGCUCUGCCCUGACCCCAACUGGAAAUCUGCACCCCUUCCAGUCUGGAGACCAGGUCCUUCUCAAAAUUUGGAGAAACGGGGCAGAUGAGCAGUUACAGGGAAAUGCACUGGCCCUUGGGAUGUCCUGCUCACCACUCUUACCACAGUUAAUCUGGCUAGAUUAAAGACCAGGACUCAUCACACCUGAGUGAAGCCUUACCUGUUGAUGGACACAGCAGAACAGGAUGUGGUGCCCAACAACUGAAAGACAGAACUGAUCAAGAUCAAGAUUAAGACAUGGCCACAAGACUCACUCUCUUCCUCUUCAUAGCUCUUCUGAUCUUGGGGACUUUGGGGAAUGAAUAAGACAUGAUACCCUUCCAAUGGGAUGAGAAUAUUUGGACUUAGUUGGCUAAGAAUGUUAUGAAUGUAUCUGAUUUUUGUAUAGCAGGUGGAACUCACAUAGACCAGGUAUUUACAUCUUGUUUAAUAGGAGUUUGUAUUCCUUUAGAAAUGUUCAGGAAUUUCACUGUGUUCCACCACAGCCAAAGGAAUCUCACCUGUCAGGAUUUGUAUGGGCAUGGACUGCAAGAUGGAGGAAGGAAAGGGAUAUAUUUUCUAUUUAUCUUAAAAUAGUUACACCUGGUGAAGAUUGUGUAAAUUCUUAGGAUGCACCACCCCUGUGUCAAUUUAACUAAUAACUUGCUUCAAUGUCAUAAGACAACUACCGUAUCUUGUGCCUAUAUACAUACUAAAAUCCCUAAGGGAUGAUUUUGGUAUGUGGACAACAGGCCUUUUUUUAUGUUCCAGCUAAUACCACAGGAGGGCCUUGUUCUCUAGGGAGAUUAGUACCAUUCUUGCCCAGGGCACAGGACCUGAAUAACACCUAAUCUGGAAGGAAGUGGCAGGCCAGUUAAUGUCCCAGGUUACUGGAAUGAUGUCCACCUCUUCAGCCCAGCUGAGUAUUUUUCCUUGUCUCUAUUUGUGAUUCCAGCUAUGGUAGUUAAGUUAAAUAUUGAGAUGGGUAGGCUAGCUUGUGCCAUGGUAAAAGCACUGAAUGCCACCUCAUGGCCAUUAGUGCACUAAGCAUAGAACUCCAACACAUCUGAGAAGCUGUCUUAGAAAACCAAGCCGCCAUUGAUUAUUUACUUCUGAGACAUAAUCACAGGUGUGCAGAAUUUAAAGGAAUGUGCUGUUUCAAUUUAGCAGAUAAUUCUCGAUUAAUAGAACACCAUAUUCAAUAGGUACAAAAUAUACUUCAUGAUAUCACCCAAAGAGAAGGCUUUCCUGGUUUUAGUUUUAGUCAGUUAUUUUCUUGGUUCCCUGAUUCAGGUUGGUUGAGAGUCUUAGUCUUUGGAGUAGGGAUUAUUUUCUUUCUAGGAGUAUUUGUGGAUAGCUGCAUCCAAUGUACCCUGUGUUUCAUGUCUACUUGUGCUACAUGUUGGAAUUACAGUUCCCCUGGGUAUGAUAAGGUUGACUCUUGUACUAUGCAACUAAUCACAAUGAUUAUUUUCAUUCAAAAUCAACUUCAGAGAUAUGAAAUGUAAUAAUGAGAGUUGGGAAAUGAGAGCACCUGUGGUAGAAAUAAGAUGGAGCCGGCUAGGCUGGGGCCAACCUGGUCUCCUCAGUUUAGGUCACAUGACCUUCACCUUGUGUGUCCCUUUCUUGUUUUGUAAAUUCAGCUCUAACCUAAAAGUGCAUAUCUUGAGUCGCUUAGGGCAAUUGAUUUAAGAAAUGAACUUCUAAAUUAGAAUGUUGUUUUGGGUCAUGGGUUAUGCUGUUAUUGUUUAUUAUGGGUCAUAGAUUAUGCUGAUAUUGUUUAAAAUAGGAGUUAACACUGUUUUUACUUUGAACUUUAAUGUAUAAAACUUUAAUUUUGGGGACUGGAAAAACACAGCAGUCUUGGAAAUUCUGACUCCUCACGCUGUUCUCCAGAAUCCUUGCCUU